GACAGGAUAGUACUGCACCAGCACUGCGUCGCCCCCCCACCCCCCCGCCAGCAUACGAAGGCCAUUGCAGACAGCGGACGCACACAUGCGCGCUGCCGGUCGCCGUGUUCGCUGCUACUCUCCGCUCUUUCGGUAAUGGCUGCCCCAAAGCCAUGGGCUUCCCCAGUGCAGCAUGGCAGCAUGUGUCGAUGGGUCCUCCGUUGCCUCUGACAUCUCCCCAGGCACUCGUAUGCUGCGCAGGGGCCUGGAUGUCUCCAGCAGUGGCACAGCAGCCGGAUGCCUCCUCUCGUCUGGGACGCGGGGUCCUUCGCCGCUCUUCUGGGAUACGGGGCCCUUGGGUAGUCCACCAAAGGGGGAUGCCUUGA
rnacentral:lncRNA from 1 species